CUGGCAGGACCCGGACGUCGCGGCUCGCGACAGUUGAUGAAGAAUAUUUUUUAGCAGAACUAUGCUUGUUACAAGGUGUGAUGAGAAUAUAUGGUGAAUGUUUAAAUUCUUAAAAAAUUAUUAUAGUAGAAGGCACACUGACAUUAGUACUCCCCUGGCUGCACCCUUAUCCUGUCACUCUUGCCGCCACCUACAGCAGUCCCGGAAGUCGUCGUCUUUCAUGAGUGUCUUUCAAGUUGCGAUUAAAAAAAAAAAAAAGAAAAAAAAUACAGCGAACGCUUCUUCUGGGUGCCAUCCAAAGGAAAGGCAAGUUUAUACAAACUUUAUCGUGCACCUUUGUCCACCUCAUUCGCUGGAUCUGGCACCAAGUGACUUCUGGCUCUUCUUCAAAGUCAAAAUCCCAAUGAAAGGUAAACGUUUCGAACUGAUUCAGAAUAUCGAGGCAGCCACGAGAGCGUAACUAAAGACAGUCACGGGAAUGCCCAGAACUGCUUCAGAAAGUGGCAAGAAAGAUUGGGUUUGUGGUGGACACUGAUAUGCUUUAUUGUAUGGCGUGCACUCUGAGGAAAAUCAGCAGCCGUGUUCUCAGCUGCUCUGUGGAAAGGCUUACAGGACAAGAAACCAAGGGAAUUCUUCAACCAACAGCCUAUAAAGCACCAAGUCCUACCAACAGCCGUGUGAGGGAGCUUGGAAGAGGAUCUUACACCAGCUUCUACUAUGGCUUGGUUCGUUUCCCAAAGCUACAUGUUCCAGAAGCUUGGUGACAGGACGGCACUGUUGAGUGGGAGAAGCUCUAAGAGGUAAGGCUCAAUGUAAUUAGAUCACUCGGGGGUACUGCCCUGGAAGGGAUUAAGGUAGAUCUUGCAGGACCCUGGUUUGUUCCCACAAGAUCAGGUUGUUAUAGAAAGUCAUGGGUUAUAGGAUGGGCACAUGAAGUCAGCUGGCUCAUAAAGGCCCCAUCGCUGGACCGUGGAGCUAUCUGGAAAGUAGCUUUGUAGACCUUGACAGGAGCUGGAUUAUUCUAGAGACAGGAAGAGGCCUGGGAGAAUGGAGUUCAUAAGUUAAUACUAAUCGAAGUGAAGUAAUGACGGGGCCAGAGAGGCACAAGUUAGGGUAAGCAUCUCGUUCUGAGCACUUAAAACCAAGUGGGUGAGCUGGGCAUGGUGGUGCACACC